rnacentral:tRNA from 2 species
AGGAUUAGUUAAAAAAUAACAUUAGAAUGUCAAACUGAAAUUACUAAAAUAAUAGUAUCCUUUAAUCC